rnacentral:lncRNA from 1 species
UAGGUGAUUACUGAUACAAAAAGCCUUCUUCUCACUAGGCUACCUACUGGGAACAGGUACGAGGUCUGCCUUUGUAUGGCUCGUGUAAGAAAACUCUUUACUGAGCAGCUGCACUGCACACCAGGGCUCCAAGUCUUAUAGAAGGGGGCAUUUAUUUUUGUGUUAGAAGGCAUCAGUUUAGAAUUGAGCUGCUUGCCCUGUUUUGCAGAUGAAUUUGUUGGAAGAAAGGUCAGAGCUAAAAGGGAAAAUGCAUGCUUUUCUCAACCAGCCUCUCCCUGCAGACUUCAGAAGGCUCACCUGAAGGCUCUACCUGUCUAAUCCAAGAGUACGCCUAGACUAUCUGUCUCAAGUCGCAGCAAAUAAAGCUAAAUCCCCAAAGGACUGGGAGAUUUUCCUGAAGCCUCAGACUCUAUUGUCCACUGAACCCACUUUUCAGCACCUGAAAGACAAUGAAGGAUGCUGCUGGUACCAAUGUUUUGGGGGAAAUAAGCUCAGUGUUACAUGAACAGGACAGGGACCUGACCAAAGUUAUUCAGGGCAUUUACAGUCAGUCAGGUAAGGUGGCUUG